UGGGGAAUAUUGCACAAUGGGCGCAAGCCUGAUGCAGCCAUGCCGCGUGUAUGAAGAAGGCCUUCGGGUUGUAAAGUACUUUCAGCGGGGAGGAAGGGAGUAAAGUUAAUACCUUUGCUCAUUGACGUUACCCGCAGAAGAAGCACCGGCUAACUCCGUGCCAGCAGCCGCGGUAAUACGGAGGGUGCAAGCGUUAAUCGGAAUUACUGGGCGUAAAGCGCACGCAGGCGGUUUGUUAAGUCAGAUGUGAAAUCCCCGGGCUCAACCUGGGAUCUGCAUCUGAUACUGGCAAGCUGGAGUCUCGUAGAGGGGGGUAGAAUGCCAGGUGUAGCGGUGAAAUGCGUAGAGAUCUGGAGGAAUACCGGUGGCGAAGGCGGCCCCCUGGACGAAGACUGACGCUCAGGUGCGAAAGCGUGGGGAGCAAACAGG
rnacentral:rRNA from 1 species